rnacentral:rRNA from 1 species
CCUACGGGAGGCAGCAGUGGGGAAUAUUGCACAAUGGGGGAAACCCUGAUGCAGCGACGCCGCGUGAGUGAAGAAGUAUUUCGGUAUGUAAAGCUCUAUCAGCAGGGAAGAAAAUGACGGUACCUGACUAAGAAGCCCCGGCUAACUACGUGCCAGCAGCCGCGGUAAUACGUAGGGGGCAAGCGUUAUCCGGAUUUACUGGGUGUAAAGGGAGCGUAGACGGCGGAACAAGUCAGAAGUGAAAACCCGGGACUCAACCCUGGGAGUGCUUUUGAAACUGUUUGGCUGGAGUGCAGGAGAGGUAAGCGGAAUUCCUAGUGUAGCGGUGAAAUGCGUAGAUAUUAGGAGGAACACCAGUGGCGAAGGCGGCUUACUGGACUGUAACUGACGUUGAGGCUCGAAAGCGUGGGGAGCAAACAGGAUUAGAUACCCUGGUAGUC